GAUGAACGCUGGCGGCGUGCCUAACACAUGCAAGUCGAGCGAUUCUCUUCGGAGAAGAGCGGCGGACGGGUGAGUAACGCGUGGGUAACCUGCCCUGUACACACGGAUAACAUACCGAAAGGUAUGCUAAUACGGGAUAACAUAAGAAAUUCGCAUGUUUUUCUUAUCAAAGCUCCGGCGGUACAGGAUGGACCCGCGUCUGAUUAGCUAGUUGGUGAGGUAAUGGCUCACCAAGGCGACGAUCAGUAGCCGACCUGAGAGGGUGAUCGGCCACAUUGGAACUGAGACACGGUCCAAACUCCUACGGGAGGCAGCAGUGGGGAAUAUUGCACAAUGGGCGAAAGCCUGAUGCAGCAACGCCGCGUGAGCGAUGAAGGCCUUCGGGUCGUAAAGCUCUGUCCUCAAGGAAGAUAAUGACGGUACUUAGAGGAGGAAGCCCCGGACUAACUACGUGCCAGCCAGGCCGACGGUAAACUCACGUAGUA
rnacentral:rRNA from 1 species